AUUGAACGCUGGCGGCAGGCCUAACACAUGCAAGUCGAACGAGUGGCGGACGGGUGAGUAAUGUCUGGGAAACUGCACGAUGGAGGGGGAUAACUACUGGAAACGGUAGCUAAUACCGCAUACCAUCGGAUGUGCCCAGAUGGGAUUAGCUAGUGGGGGGGGUAAGGGCUCACCCAGGCCACGAUCCCUAGCUGGUCUGAGAGGAUGACCAGCCACACUGGACCUGAGCCACGGUCAAGACUCCUACGGGAGGCAGCAUUGGGGAAUAUGGCACAAUGGGCGCAAGCCUGAUGCAGCCAUGCCGCGUGUGUGAAGAAGGCCUUCGGGUUGUAAAGCACUUUCAGCGGGGAGGCGUUACCCGCAGAAGAAGCACCGGCUAACUCCGUGCCAGCAGCCGCGGUAAUUC
rnacentral:rRNA from 1 species